rnacentral:rRNA from 1 species
UACGGAGGGGGCUAGCGUUGUUCGGAAUUACUGGGCGUAAAGGGCUCGUAGGUGGCCAACUAAGUCAGACGUGAAAUCCAUCGGCUUAACCGGGGAACUGCGUCUGAUACUGGAUGGCUUGAGUUUGGGAGAGGGACGCGGAAUUCCAGGUGUAGCGGUGAAAUGCGUAGAUAUCUGGAGGAACACCGGUGGCGAAGGCGGCGUCCUGGACCAACACUGACACUGAGGAGCGAAAGCCAGGGGAGCAAACGGG